GGAAUUUAGCACAGCCUUGGGUGACAGCCUGUGUCAAUUAGAGGAAUUAGUGGAAUUCCUCUGGAAUUUAUGGUCCCUCCCAUUGCUUCUUUCACCUAUCAGGAUCUGGCUUUAUCUACCAGCAGGCUCACAGCUUGUUUGUAAAGACACAUCCCUCUCAUUCCUUUCACCUGAACAUCCCAUACAAUUUAAAAGUAGAGGCUAUGGUGUGAAAAUGUGGUGCUUUUUUAAUCUUCCCUAAGUUGGGUGGAGCUUUGCCUUAUAUUCCCAAGUCCUGCACUCAAACUGGGUCAGUGUAUGCUAAACAAAACAGAUACUCCUACUUCAUCUUUCAAUCCCCAUAGCUAAAGCCAAAAUAAAAAUAUUGCUGUGUGAGGAUGAAGAAGAGGAAAAUGUACAGUCUGGGAGCAAAGCUACCCCUGUCACUGCAGAGGGAACAGCAGCUGACCUCAGGUGCCACCAGGGACAAGAAGCAGCUGUUUCUGUCAUAGCCUGUGCUUCUCAGUGCAAUGCUGGCUGUCUCAACAAUUACAAACAAGGUAUUUUAAAAGCAGUGUUCUGCCUGUGGCUUUUGAUGGCUGGUGCUCUGCAUUUCCCUGCCUUGUGAGCCUAUAAAACAGAGGGGUAUGGAAAACUCCUGCUCUGGAUUUACAUUCUGGACCUCCAGUCUUGUGGGCCACUGCCUGCACCAGUCCUGGAGA